rnacentral:rRNA from 1 species
AACGUAGGAGACAACCGUUAUCCGGAGUUACUGGGCGUAAAGGGCGUGUAGGUGGUAUCGUAAGUCUGGCGUGAAAUUUCUCGGCUUAACCGAGGCAGGUCGUCGGAUACUGCGAGGCUAGAGUACGGUAGAGGGGGAUGGAAUUCCGCGUGUAGCAGUGAAAUGCGUAGAUAUGCGGAGGAACACCGAUGGCGAAGGCAAUCCCCUGGACCUGUACUGACGCUCAUGCACGAAAGCGUGGGGAGCAAACAGG